rnacentral:rRNA from 1 species
CGCUGAAAGCAUCUAAGCGUGAAGCCCCCCUCGAGAUGAGAUUUCCCAUCACAUAAAGUGAGUAAGACCCCUGAGAGACGAUCAGGUAGAUAGGCUAGGAGUGGAAGUGCCGUGAGGCAUGGAGCGGACUAGUACUAAUCGGUCGAGGACUUAACCAAG